rnacentral:rRNA from 1 species
GCUUGCUCCCUGGUGGCGAGCGGCGGACGGGUGAGUAAUGCAUAGGAAUCUGCCCGGUAGUGGGGGAUAACCUGGGGAAACUCAGGCUAAUACCGCAUACGCCCCAUGGGGGAAAGCGGGGGACCUUCGGGCCUCGCGCUAUCGGAUGAGCCUAUGUCGGAUUAGCUGGUUGGUGAGGUAACGGCUCACCAAGGCGACGAUCCGUAGCUGGUCUGAGAGGAUGAUCAGCCACACUGGGACUGAGACACGGCCCAGACUCCUACGGGAGGCAGCAGUGGGGAAUAUUGGACAAUGGGGGCAACCCUGAUCCAGCCAUGCCGCGUGUGUGAAGAAGGCCUUCGGGUUGUAAAGCACUUUCAGCGAGGAAGAAGGCUUUCGGGCGAAUACCCCGGAAGAAGGACAUCACUCGCAGAAGAAGCACCGGCUAACUCCGUGCCAGCAGCCGCGGUAAUACGGAGGGUGCGAGCGUUAAUCGGAAUUACUGGGCGUAAAGCGCGCGUAGGCGGCUCGAUAAGCCGGUUGUGAAAGCCCCGGGCUCAACCUGGGAAUGGCAUCCGGAACUGUGGGGCUAGAGUGCAGGAGAGGAAGGUAGAAUUCCCGGUGUAGCGGUGAAAUGCGUAGAGAUCGGGAG